AAUAUUUCUUCUAAUUUCUUUUCUUUUUUUUAUUUUUUUAUUUUUUUAUUUUUUAUCCCUCUUUAACACACGGACAGGCAGAUGCUCAUGUAAUUGUUGGUCUACCCGGAAGUGAAAUUCCAGAGUGCUUCAACUAUCAAAGCCCAGGAUCUUCAAUGGAAGUUCUGUUCCCUCAAUGUUGCUUUAAUUCUUUGUUCUUGGGUUUUGCUUUUUGUGUUGUUCUAGAUUUUGAGGUUCCUGUUGUUCCCAAGGAAGGUGAUUGUUUCUACUUUGCAUGUGAAUGCCGUUUCAAAAUUCCUAUGAGAGAAACAUAUGACAAUGAAAGGUCUGGCAGGUUUUUGUCUUCACUCAACCUUUUUGAGGUGGCCUUUGAAUAAGACCACCUGUUUCUUUUCUACUACAAGCCACGUUAUUUUUGUAAUCUAAAUCAUUUCCUCAUACAAAGUUGUUGCAAUGUCAUGGAAGCGUCAUUUGUGUUCAAAUCAGAAUUCAAAUAUUCUCAGUUGGAGGUGAAAAUGUGUGGGAUCCAACUAUUGUAUUCCAAAGAUGUGCUGCACAAAUGCAAUGCAAGCAUAAAACAAAGCAAGUUCUCAUCACGAUAUGGAGCAACCAGGCCCGAGUUCCUACAAGUGAUGGAAACCGACACCAACAAGAAGAGAAGCAGGGAAACUCCUUCCCCUUGGAUUGCUAUCAUUGCAGAUGGCAAAUCUGAGUAUGAGGAAGAAGAACAACCACACCCUAAAAGAGUAAAGUGAACACUUGCACCAAAGUGAUUGUGGUGCUUUCAAUGGCAUCAGCCAUGCGUUGCCUCAAGUAUAGAUGAGAUACGAAACUAGCUUUAUAAAUUGUAAGGCUAUGUUUGGAUGUGAGUCAUGUUGACAUUUUUCUAAAGUACAUAAUUCAACAUUUUGUGAUUUGAACCUA